UGUCCUAGGGUAGCUCAGUUGGUGGAGAAUGAGACUCUUGAUCUCAGGAUUGUGGGUUUGAAGAGGGUUGGAAUAGAUGACUCUUGGGGUCCCAGCUCUACAA